GAUGAACGCUGGCGGCGUGCCUAACACAUGCAAGUCGAGCGAUCUUCUUCGGAGGAGAGCGGCGGACGGCUGAGUAACACGUAGGAACGUACUCCAAAGUGAGGGAUAAGCACCAGAAAUGGUGUCUAAUACCGCAUGUGCUCUAAGGAGUAAAGCUUCGGCGCUUUGGGAACGGCCUGCGUCCGAUUAGCUAGUUGGUGAGGUAAUAGCUCACAAAGGCGACGAUCGGUAGCUGGUCUGAGAGGAUGAUCAGCCAGACUGGGACUGAGACACGGCCCAGACUCCUACGGGAGGCAGCAGUAGGGAAUUUUCCACAAUGGGCGAAAGCCUGAUGGAGCAACGCCGCGUGCAGGAUGAAUGCCUUCGGGUUGUAAACUGCUUUUCUAUGUGACGAUUAUGACGGUAGCAUAUGAAUAAGGAUCGGCUAACUCCGUGCCAGCCGCCGCCGUAA
rnacentral:rRNA from 1 species